GUCUCGUCCCUUUGGGUUCAUGGGCUAAAAAAUGCCGAUUUAAAGGUAGACUCCGUGUCUUGGCGGAAUUACCUGUCCUCGCGACUCGCGAAUACGUAGAACUUGUGUUUGAGUUAUGAAAUUCAGAAAUUCAGGUGGGGAGACUUCCCAGGUGAUUCUAAAAAAAAUAUAUAUAUAUUUAAACUGUCGGCGAACGGUGAAAGAUCUCAGAGUUCCUGUUCGAUGGCGUUGCCGCCGGCCGGCGACGGCGAGCCUCGAAUGCUUCACACCCAGUGCCCUCUCCUCCUCCUCUUCCCCUGCAACCGUGCUUGCUCUCUCUCAGCCCGGCGUGCAGGGUCCAAAAUCGCGCGGCCGCAGCUGAGAUCUUCACAUGUCGCCAACAUGCGUGUGGUUUUCCUGCAGACUGAAUUGAAGCCCGAAUAGAGUUCCACGUCCUUCUUCUCUCUAGCAGCAGCAAGCACCCGACAAAGCAAGGCGAGCCAGUGCUUCCUCCGCUGUCAUCUCAGUGAGAGGCGCUCUAUGCAUCAAACGUGUUCGACGUAAUGACCAGUUCUUGCUCUUUAACAGCAAUCAAUCCAUCCUCGUCGAGCUUAAUUAAGGAGGGUUCUUGAAGAGCUUUUACUGCCUUAAUUACUCCUACACUCUACAGUAGCAACAUAGGAGUAUAUCCUUCCUGAAGAGCUUUUCUCCAGGUCAGUUUUUCAAGUAAAAGGUGCGUAAAGACCCUACUGUUUCUCUCCUAGAUUAAUUAUAAGAUUUGAUGAGCCGGCCUAGCAAUUAAAUUAAGAGCAAGGAAAAAGCUGCCUGUAUAAGUAAGCGUUCCCCUAGUGUCGUUGUAAGGCUAAUGGUAUUGGACUAGUUGCCCGAGAUGCCUAAUGGCAACACGGGGAAGAUGCCUGAGAUGGCAUCCACAAAUAAGGAGGGAGAGACGAGAGGAGAGAGAGGGUUUGUGUGCCGUGGAGGGCCUCGUGGCGUGGAGAAGAGGACGGUGGGCCUGUUGUAACAGCCCGAAACCAACUCUUUUCCUUUUAAGUCUUUUUGGACUUGUUUGUAAUUUAUUUGUUGACAUCAUGUUUCAUGCUCAUGUCAUUAUCAACGUUGUCGUGUGUUUGUCAUUUGUUGUGUUUCCUAAAGCGUAAAACUAUUUCGUACAAAUCCUAAUUUGAGUUGGACAAAUUAUUCCCGGGUUUAAUUAGACCUAGCCUCUUAUCUCUUGUCUUAUUGCAAAAAAAUCUAAAAUUGCAAAAACCGUAUUUUUGUUUGAGGCUUUUGUUAGCCCAAAAGACCAAACCCUAACUUUUGCAUAUAAAACCUAGCUCCCUAGUUUUUAUUCUUUUCUUUCUUCCCUUCUUCCUCCCGCGUCCGCCGCCGCGCGCCUCCCAUUUUUCUCUGGCGCCGCCCUUGCUCCCCACGCCGCCCGAGCUCUGUCUGCCCCGCGCGCCUCUUCCUCUCUCACCACCGGUCGCGCCUCCUCCCGCUCCGCCUCUCUCUUCCCCGACGCCGCUCUCUCCUCCGGCCGCUCCCGCGCCCUCCUCCGCGCGCGUCCGCCCGCGCGCCUCCUCGUCUCCCCCGCGCACGCCCUCGCUUCCCCCGCGCGCCCUCUUCUCCCCGGGCGUCCCCUGCUCACCCACGACCGCCUCGCCGCCGCCUGCAACCCCGGCCGGCGCCGCCUCACCCCGCAGCUCCUCCACGCCGCGCACAUCGACCCGACCGCUCCGUCUCCACCGCUCCGCGCCGCCCGCCUGCAGCGCUCCCCACCAGCCUCCUCUGCCUCCAGCCCGAAGGCCCGAGCAAGCCCGGCUCGCCCAAGCCCAGCCGAGCCCCCUCCUGGCCCAUCUUCUCUGGCCCAUCUCCAAGCCCAGGAAGCAGGCGCGUGCCUCUUUGGUCUUUUUCUGUUUUUCUGAAAUUGCUUAAGACCUGACUUGUGGGCCCUGCUGGCCAGCGCCUCUGCUGCUGUACUUGGCUUCGUGUGGUUGAUGUGGUGCUGUUGCCGCCGCUCCACGUGUGUUUUGCCGUGCUGCUGCCCAAAACCUUGAUGGGUGCCGCGAAGACCGACGAACCUCCGAGCCGGAGCCUUGAACGACUUCGACCGCGACGAUUGAACGACUACAUCGUCUACAUCGCCUACGUGAACAGCUACUUCGCCUACGACGAUUACGCCUACGACGAUUACGUGUACGACUACGUCGACUACUUCCUCUACAUCGCGACGCCGCACGUGUCCAAGGUAUAACGUGCGACCGUCCCGUGAGCCGACCGUUCUUCGGCGUAGACCCGUAGGUUGUGAUUGUCGAUAUUCAUGUGUUGUAUGAGAUGCCGUGUAUGUACCGAUAGUGUCGAUAGUUGCAGGUACCUCGUUGGCAUGUGCAACCCCGUUCGACUCGUUUGUUUGGUGUGUUUUUCCUAUUUUAAAACAUGCAUCGCACCUAUCUAUGUCAUUGUCAUGCAGGCUAAUACAACUAUCACAUUGUUGUGUGUAGUUGAUCAAUUAAACUCUAUUCCUUGCAUAUGGAGUUGUUUAGGUGCUAUGUGUAGGUGUUUCGGACUCCAUUUAACUUGGUAAAUUGUAAAUCGGAUUUACUUUCGGAUUCCUUAAUAUGACAUGCAUCAUCCCUA